rnacentral:rRNA from 1 species
CGCAGCCGCGGUAAUUCCAGCUCCAAUAGCGUAUAUUAAAGUUGUUGCAGUUAAAAAGCUCGUAGUUGAAUUUCGGGAUUCAUCCGUUGGUCGGGCUUCACGGUCCGUACUGGUGUGAUGGGUUCCUACCUUCUGAAUAACCGGCAUGCCAUUAAUUUGGUGCGCCGGGGAAGCAGAACUAUUACCUUGAAAAAAUUAGAGUGCUUAAAGCAGGCAAGUGCCUGAAUAGGUUAGCAUGGAAUAAUAAAAUAGGACGGCAUGGUUCUAUUUUGUUGGUUUCUAGGAUCACCGUAAUGAUUAAUAGGGAUAGUUGGGGGCAUUAGUAUUCAAUUGUCAGAGGUGAAAUUCUUGGAUUUAUUGAAGACUAACUUCUGCGAAAGCAUUUGCCAAGGAUGUUUUCAUUAAUCAAGAACGAAAGUUAGGGGAUCGAAGACGAUCAGAUACCGUCGUAGUCUUAACCAUAAACUAUGCCGACUAGGGAUCGGACGAUGUUAAUUUUUUUAAUGACUCGUUCGGCGCC